rfam:TPA: Bos taurus chromosome 10, whole genome shotgun sequence.
UCCCUGGUAGCUGAGCUGGUAAAGAAUCUGCCUGCAAUGCAGAAGACACCAGUUCAAUUCCUGGGUCAGGAA